CAUGCAAGUCGAACGGUAAGGCCCCUUCGGGGGUACACGAGUGGCGAACGGGUGAGUAACACGUGGGUAAUCUGCCCUGCACUUCGGGAUAAGCCCGGGAAACUGGGUCUAAUACCGGAUAUGAGCUCUCACCGCAUGGUGGGGGUUGGAAAGUUUUUCGGUGCAGGAUGAGCCCGCGGCCUAUCAGCUUGUUGGUGGGGUAAUGGCCUACCAAGGCGACGACGGGUAGCCGGCCUGAGAGGGUGAUCGGCCACACUGGGACUGAGACACGGCCCAGACUCCUACGGGAGGCAGCAGUGGGGAAUAUUGCACAAUGGGCGCAAGCCUGAUGCAGCGACGCCGCGUGGGGGAUGACGGUCUUCGGAUUGUAAACCCCUUUCAGUAGGGACGAAGCGCAAGUGACGGUACCUGCAGAAGAAGCACCGGCCAACUACGUGCCAGCAGCCGCGGUAAUACGUAGGGUGCGAGCGUUGUCCGGAAUUACUGGGCGUAAAGAGCUCGUAGGCGGUUUGUCGCGUCGUCUGUGAAAUCCUCCAGCUUAACUGGGGGCGUGCAGGCGAUACGGGCAGACUUGAGUACUACAGGGGAGACUGGAAUUCCUGGUGUAGCGGUGAAAUGCGCAGAUAUCAGGAGGAACACCGGUGGCGAAGGCGGGUCUCUGGGUAGUAACUGACGCUGAG
rnacentral:rRNA from 1 species